rnacentral:misc_RNA from 1 species
GUUUAACCGCCAACAGCUGCAACAAUGAACUAACACUGUAUCAAGUCUCGCAAAGAGGCAGUGAUCCAGGACAACAAUCACAGUUCUCUUUUGGUCAGAAUUCACCAGAAAGCAAUCAGGCUCAUGAUGACUUUAGGAGUUACAUCAAGCAUUUUGAGAAAGAUACAAAUAAAGAUGUGUUCAACUCAGACAGUACCACCGCCUUUUAUGAUGCAAAUGAGUACAAAUUGCAAGCUCAUACAGAAAGC